GAUGAAUGCUGGCGGCGUGCCUAACACAUGCAAGUCGAGCGGCAGCAAGGGGUGCUUGCACCCUGUCGGCGAGCGGCGAACGGCUGAGUAACGCGUAGGAAUUUGCCCCAAAGUGAGGAAUAACUGCCCGAAAGGGUAGCUAAUGCCGCAUAUGGUCUUCGGAUUAAAGGAUUUAUCCGCUUUGGGAGAAGCCUGCGUUGGAUUAGGUUGUUGGUAGGGUAAUGGCCUACCAAGCCGACGAUCCAUAGCUGGUCUGAGAGGAUGAUCAGCCAGACUGGAACUGAGACACGGUCCAGACUCCUACGGGAGGCAGCAGUGAGGAAUCUUCCACAAUGGGCGAAAGCCUGAUGGAGCAACGCCGCGUGAAGGAUGAAGGCCUUCGGGUUGUAAACUUCUUUUAUGAGUGAAGAAUAUGACGGUAACUCAUGGAUAAGCACCGGCUAACUACGUG
rnacentral:rRNA from 1 species